rnacentral:tRNA from 1 species
AAUCCAAUAGCUCAAAGGGAGAGCGGUCGGCGGUUAACUGGACUGGGUGUAGGUUCAAAUCCUACUUGGAAAG